GGAAAGGAUUUUUUGAACGUUGCUGAAUAAUCGAUUAUUGAUUUUGUAUAAUCGAUUGUUUUACGUAAAAUCUGGAAAUGAUUUUUUGAACGUUAGCAAUAAUCGAUUAUUGAUCUUGGACAAUCGAUUGUUAAGCGUAAAAUCUGGGAUUGAUUUCUGGAACGAUUGGGAAACAAUCGAUUGUGGCUUCUUGACAAUCGAUUGUCACUCAGUAAAAUCAGUAACUCUUAAUUGACAAUUAGACAACAGUAAUUCCAAGUUUUUCAACUAUAAAUACAGCUUCAUUUCAGUGUUUUAAACACAACAAC
rnacentral:lncRNA from 1 species